UGUGGAAGCUUUGUUCUUUUGCUCUUUGCAAUAAAUCUUGCUACUGCUCACUCUUUGGGUCCACGCUGCUUUUAUGAGCUGUAACACUCACCGCGAAGAUCUGCAGCUUCACUCCUGAGCCCAGCAAGACCACGAGCCCACCGGGAGGAAUGAACAACUCCAGACACGCUACCUUAAGAGCUGUACCACUCACCGCGAAGGUCUGCAGCUUCACUCCUGAGCCAGCGAGACCACGAACCCACCAGAAGGAAGAAACUCCGAACACAUCUGAACAUCAGAAGGGACAGACUCCAGACACGCCACCUUAAGAGCUGUAACACUCACCGCGAGGGUCCACGGCUUCAUUCUUGAAGUCAGUGAGACCAAGAACCCACCAAUUCCGGACACAGUGCUGAGAAUCAUGCCUUGAAAUCUAGCAGCUCUGUUAAAAACUGAGCAAGGUGUACUUCGGGGUUGUGUUGAGAAGGUUGGUGUUCAGCUAAAUCAGGAGGGAAGGCCAAGGAAAAUCAGGCUUGGCACCUGUCAACAGACAAUGUGAUGGUCAUGAAGUCUCUGUCAGAGAGGAAAGAGGGAGUUAAUCUAUAAUGAAGAUCAACAGUGAAGAGGAAAGGGGUCUUCCCUGGAACGCUUCAGUCAUAUACGACAUUUUACACAACAAUAAUGGACCUGUGUAAGGAGGUAUGUGUGGGAGAAGAUUCCAGAAGGUCUUGAGACACUCCAGAUGAAGGUUGGUGUGGGGCUGUGCUGCUGGAGCACCAGAGAGUGAAAAGAGGUUAUCUCCCUCUGUGCCAGGCCAGAGUGCAGUGGUGCAAUCACGGCUCACUGUAGUCUCAACCUCCUGGGCUCAAGAGAUCCUCCCACUUCAGCCUCCCAAGCAGCUAAGACUACAGGCACGUGUCAUCAUAUCUGGC
rnacentral:lncRNA from 1 species